rnacentral:lncRNA from 1 species
CUAACUAUAAGCUAAACAUGCAUUCUACCCCAUAGAUCUUGCAUAAAACUUACUUUAAACAUGAAAUGAGCUUAAGAUCGGCUCUUACCUCUUGAAAAUCGAGAGAGAGACGUCCUAAACUCGGAGGUGGGAGAUUUUUGAGUUCUUGAACCUCAAAGCUCCAAAACUUGCUUUAAACUCGAAAAUCUUCAAAACAAAGCAAAAACUUGUGAAAAUCUUGAAAGAUUUGAAGGAAA